UCCCCACUCGUGUGCCUCCUUCCUAGACUGCUGACUCAGUUUUUCCUUCAUGAGCAAUUUGAGGUUGUUCUGACCUGUGUUCUUUGACAGUCAUUUUGUCAGAAAUGGGAUUCAAUAAUGGGCCAAACUGCUGACUGGACUGAACCAGACAUGACAGCCUAGUCCCAGCAGGGAAGUUUCAGAGGGGGAUCUCCAAUUUGUGUCAACUAAUCUCUGUUGGACGCCCACACCAACUUCAGGAUGACUGGGAAGAUUCUAGUAAAAGCCAAAGCUGCCUAAUAGCAAUGUCUCCUUGCCACCAUUCCAAAGGUAUUUUGCCACCCUAUAGAUAUAUCUAAUUGCUAAUUUGUAUCAUAAACAUUUGGCUGACCUUCAUACUUCUCAUUCUUUUUUAGUUGAAGGUCUUGACCCUGCAGUGGCCAAACUUAUUGAAACCAACCUUUCAAAGUAGCAAACAUGGACUUUGUUUGAUGCUGCCCCUGGUAACUGAACUGCUCCAGGGACCUGCAUGCCAGAGAGACUUCUGUGAUAGAGAGAGGACACUGAAGCCUGCCAAAGAACCCACCAAAUUGGAAAGAUUGAAAGACUUUGGGGAAAUGGGGUAGUGGGGUUUUUUGUUAGAAUUUUGCUAGAGGCAGACUGCCUAUUCUCUGGCCAGGCAUUUGGGGAGUGCCCCCAAAUGCCAGUUGUCAAUGUGCUGGGCAUUUGGGGAGCCCCCAAAUGCCAACUGUCUAUACUUAUGCACAAUGGUUUCUCUUCUUAGUAAUAUAAUAGGGUCCAACUCUUUUAGGUAACUCCAUUUUGUCUUUUUUGGUGUGGACAAAAAGCAUUUAACCUUUGUCCACAAGAGGUGUGUGUCAACAUGAAAUCUGAACACCUCAAUUUUACCCCUGCCCCUUGAGAAACCCCAGGACCAGGCAAACUUGUUUUGGGUUGAAAUAUAGACUUUAAACUGUUUGGUGACCCUAACGUGGGUGGGAUUAGUGGAUAUAGUCAAAAUGGUGAGUUCCUUUGUUUGUUUUAGAAGCUUCUCCCAUUGUAUUAAAGAUCCCUCUCAGGAAGCCCAGAUCUUAGUUUGACUCUCCUUUGUAAUUGUUAUAACUGACCCCUCCCUGAUACCCCUGAUGCUGGCUGCGAACCUCUUUGCAGCCUGCUUACAGUUUGUCUAUGUAUGCUUGCUGUACCAAGUUCUCCAGAAGUUAUAAAAGACCCCCCCAAGUUCUGUCCCUCUUUGGAGCUGGCAUCUGACUUGGUGUUACUUCCAGAGACUUGGCCAGAGCUUUCAGCUCUGUGUGGAUUUUGAGUGUGAUACUCCAUGUGGAAGCCUAAAGAUUGUUCCAUAAUCCCUAUCCUGAUUAAAGAUUUGUUGUUUUCUGAAUAUUAAAUAAUUCUGUGUUUUUUCCAAGUUAACAGCCUCCAGAGGAAGAACCGAUGAUAUAUUUUUACAGAUUUCUUUUUAUCAUGGGAUGCCUUCCCUAAUGGGGGAGGGGAGAAGGAAGAGAAAGAGUAAACUGGGCAUUUUAAUAUAACAAUUUUUUUUAAAGGAAUAAAGUGGAACUGAACAGUCUCCUUUGUAAAUAG
ensembl:lncRNA